rnacentral:rRNA from 2 species
CACGAACGACUCUCGGCAACGGAUAUCUCGGCUCUCGCAUCGAUGAAGAACGUAGCGAAAUGCGAUACUUGGUGUGAAUUGCAGAAUCCCGUGAACCAUCGAGUCUUUGAACGCAAGUUGCGCCCCAAGCCGUCAGGCCGAGGGCACGCCUGCCUGGGUGUCACGCAU